CAUCUAGGCGGUCAAUCAAGUCGAAGGUGAAAACUUGUGGCUCAACCAUAAGCUUGCCUACGAAACUGAUUAACUAGAGUACUGGAGAAGUGGACGGAACUACACGAGUAGAGGUGAAAUUCGUAGAUAUGUGUAGGAAUGCCGAUGAUGAAGAUAGUUCACUGGACAGAAACUGACGCUGAAGUGCGAAAGCUAGGGGAGCAAACA
rnacentral:rRNA from 1 species